UGGUGCAGAUGAAGGGUGCUCAGCAGAGCGU
rnacentral:piRNA from 1 species